AGACAUGGAGACAUUCUCACUAUAAUAUCUGCUUUAUUUAGUUGCUUUGUCCGUUGAAUGAGACAACAGAAAGAGAACGGGAAAUGGAAACGGGAGUCUCAGAAAACCGGAGAAUGAAUUGGUGUGAUGACGUCAUUACUCCUCU